rnacentral:rRNA from 1 species
UACGUAGGGCGCAAGCGUUAUCCGGAAUUAUUGGGCGUAAAGAGCUCGUAGGCGGUUUGUCGCGUCUGCCGUGAAAGUCCGGGGCUCAACUCCGGAUCUGCGGUGGGUACGGGCAGACUAGAGUGAUGUAGGGGAGACUGGAAUUCCUGGUGUAGCGGUGAAAUGCGCAGAUAUCAGGAGGAACACCGGUGGCGAAGGCGGAUCUCUGGGCCUUACCUGACGCUGAGGCGCGAAAGCUAGGGGAGCAAACAGG